rnacentral:rRNA from 1 species
UCCUGACUGACCGAUAGUGAACCAGUACCGUGAGGGAAAGGCGAAAAGAACCCCGGCGAGGGGAGUGAAAAAGAACCUGAAACCGUGUACGUACAAGCAGUGGGAGCACGCUUAGGCGUGUGACUGCGUACCUUUUGUAUAAUGGGUCAGCGACUUAUAUUCUGUAGCAAGGUUAACCGAAUAGGGGAGCCGAAGGGAAACCGAGUCUUAACUGGGCGUUAAGUUGCAGGGUAUAGACCCGAAACCCGGUGAUCUAGCCAUGGGCAGGUUGAAGGUUGGGUAACACUAACUGGAGGACCGAACCGACUAAUGUUGAAAAAUUAGCGGAUGACUUGUGGCUGGGGGUGAAAGGCCAAUCAAACCGGGAGAUAGCUGGUUCUCCCCGAAAGCUAUUUAGGUAGCGCCUCGUGAAUUCAUCUCCGGGGGUAGAGCACUGUUUCGGCAAGGGGGUCAUCCCGACUUACCAACCCGAUGCAAACUGCGAAUACCGGAGAAUGUUAUCACGGGAGACACACGGCGGGUGCUAACGUCCGUCGUGAAGAGGGAAACAACCCAGACCGCCAGCUAAGGUCCCAAAGUCAUGGUUAAGUGGGAAACGAUGUGGGAAGGCCCAGACAGCCAGGAUGUUGGCUUAGAAGCAGCCAUCAUUUAAAGAAAGCGUAAUAGCUCACUGGUCGAGUCGGCCUGCGCGGAAGAUGUAACGGGGCUAAACCAUGCACCGAAGCUGCGGCAGCGACGCUUAUGCGUUGUUGGGUAGGGGAGCGUUCUGUAAGCCUGCGAAGGUGUGCUGUGAGGCAUGCUGGAGGUAUCAGAAGUGCGAAUGCUGACAUAAGUAACGAUAAAGCGGGUGAAAAGCCCGCUCGCCGGAAGACCAAGGGUUCCUGUCCAACGUUAAUCGGGGCAGGGUGAGUCGACCCCUAAGGCGAGGCCGAAAGGCGUAGUCGAUGGGAAACAGGUUAAUAUUCCUGUACUUGGUGUUACUGCGAAGGGGGGACGGAGAAGGCUAUGUUGGCCGGGCGACGGUUGUCCCGGUUUAAGCGUGUAGGCUGGUUUUCCAGGCAAAUCCGGAAAAUCAAGGCUGAGGCGUGAUGACGAGGCACUACGGUGCUGAAGCAACAAAUGCCCUGCUUCCAGGAAAAGCCUCUAAGCAUCAGGUAACAUCAAAUCGUACCCCAAACCGACACAGGUGGUCAGGUAGAGAAUACCAAGGCGCUUGAGAGAACUCGGGUGAAGGAACUAGGCAAAAUGGUGCCGUAACUUCGGGAGAAGGCACGCUGAUAUGUAGGUGAAGUCCCUUGCGGAUGGAGCUGAAAUCAGUCGAAGAUACCAGCUGGCUGCAACUGUUUAUUAAAAACACAGCACUGUGCAAACACGAAAGUGGACGUAUACGGUGUGACGCCUGCCCGGUGCCGGAAGGUUAAUUGAUGGGGUCAGCGCAAGCGAAGCUCUUGAUCGAAGCCCCGGUAAACGGCGGCCGUAACUAUAACGGUCCUAAGGUAGCGAAAUUCCUUGUCGGGUAAGUUCCGACCUGCACGAAUGGCGUAAUGAUGGCCAGGCUGUCUCCACCCGAGACUCAGUGAAAUUGAACUCGCUGUGAAGAUGCAGUGUACCCGCGGCAAGACGGAAAGACCCCGUGAACCUUUACUAUAGCUUGACACUGAACAUUGAGCCUUGAUGUGUAGGAUAGGUGGGAGGCUUUGAAGUGUGGACGCCAGUCUGCAUGGAGCCGGCCUUGAAAUACCACCCUUUAAUGUUUGAUGUUCUAACGUGGACCCGUGAUCCGGGUUGCGGACAGUGUCUGGUGGGUAGUUUGACUGGGGCGGUCUCCUCCUAAAGAGUAACGGAGGAGCACGAAGGUUGGCUAAUCCUGGUCGGACAUCAGGAGGUUAGUGCAAUGGCAUAAGCCAGCUUGACUGCGAGCGUGACGGCGCGAGCAGGUGCGAAAGCAGGUCAUAGUGAUCCGGUGGUUCUGAAUGGAAGGGCCAUCGCUCAACGGAUAAAAGGUACUCCGGGGAUAACAGGCUGAUACCGCCCAAGAGUUCAUAUCGACGGCGGUGUUUGGCACCUCGAUGUCGGCUCAUCACAUCCUGGGGCUGAAGUAGGUCCCAAGGGUAUGGCUGUUCGCCAUUUAAAGUGGUACGCGAGCUGGGUUUAGAACGUCGUGAGACAGUUCGGUCCCUAUCUGCCGUGGGCGCUGGAGAACUGAGGGGGGCUGCUCCUAGUACGAGAGGACCGGAGUGGACGCAUCACUGGUGUUCGGGUUGUCAUGCCAAUGGCACUGCCCGGUAGCUAAAUGCGGAAGAGAUAAGUGCUGAAAGCAUCUAAGCACGAAACUUGCCCCGAGAUGAGUUCUCCCUGACCCUUUAAGGGUCCUGAAGGAACGUUGAAGACGACGACGUUGAUAGGCCGGGUGUGUAAGCGCAGCGAUGCGUUGAGCU